rnacentral:tRNA from 1 species
GGAGAGGUGGCCGAGCCUGGUUUAUGGCGCACGCCCGGAAAGCGUGUAGGCCCGAAAGGGUCUCGGGGGUUCAAAUCCCCCCCUCUCCGCCA